GGGGCUGUAGUGAAGCGGCUUAACACGCCUGCCUGUCACGCAGGAGAUCGCGGGUUCGAAUCCCGUCAGCCCCGCCA
rnacentral:tRNA from 1 species